rnacentral:rRNA from 1 species
GAUGAACGCUGACAGAAUGCUUAACACAUGCAAGUCAUUGGCGAAGCUGCGCUUGCGCAGUCUAGCCAAGGCGGACGGGUGAGUAACGCGUAAGGAACUUGCCCUGCAGACAGGGAUAACAGACGGAAACGACUGAUAACACCUGGUAUUGUCAGGCUGGCGCAUGCCGGCCUGAUGAAAGGAGACGCUGCAGGAGAGCCUUGCGUCCUAUUAGCUAGUUGGUGGGGUAACGGCCCACCAAGGCGAUGAUAGGUAGCCGGCCUGAGAGGGUGAACGGCCACAAGGGGACUGAGAUACGGCCCUUACUCCUACGGGAGGCAGCAGUGGGGAAUAUUGGACAAUGGGGGCAACCCUGAUCCAGCAAUUCUGUGUGCACGAAGAAGGUUUUCGGAUUGUAAAGUGCUUUCAGCAGGGAAGAAGAAAGUGACGGUACCUGAAGAAGAAGCGACGGCUAAAUACGUG